UAGGCUUCACACUUUUUUCCAUAAGUGAUUAUGACUGCCUUCUUUCUUAGUGAUGUCCGUCAGGAUUUGCACAGGAAGAAUGUUCAACUCUCCUGCUGAGAAGUGAAUCAAGGGUAAAACCCUAAGAUCAGCUCAAUAGAUGGAGAAUAAAGAGCAUCAGGAGAGUAUUGAGCUGACACAUUCAAUGCCCACUCGUGAUCUGAGAAAACACAAAUGUUCUCAGCGAACCAGGAAUAGAAGUGAAGUUCCUCAGUCCAGUGAAAGACAUCUGUAAAAAUACUUCAUUCUGUACUACCUACUGGAAGGAGCACCUUCCAGUACCUGCCAGGGGCUGGAGAAGGCUUGCUUGGUAAAGUCUCGCCAUGAAAGCAUGAAGACCUGAAUUUGGAUUCCCAGCACACCAUGGAAAAAGCUGAGUGUAGCAGCACACACCUGGAAUCCCAGCACUGGGGAGGUAGAAACAGGAGGAUCUCUGAGGCUUGCUAGUGAGUUCCUGCUUCAGGGAGGGACGUCUUAAAAAUAAGGCAGAAAGUAAUUGAGGAAUGUAAUAAACAUUGACCUCUCACUUGCAGCCACACUCACACACACGUGCACGUGCGUUCACAUACACACACACACACACACACACACACACACACACACACAGAACCAUCUCAAGGGGAAUUUUCAUUAACUCU